GGGGGCGUACUGGUUUCGACGGGGGUAUGGACCUAGAAGUAGCGAGCCGUGUUUUUUGCUUGGGGUACACGUUAAAGAACUGGGCAAUUAAAUAUAAACGCUGAUAAUAAUAAUUACGCUUUAGCUGCCUAAUGCAGCUACGUCCCUCCUAGGCCUACCGGCCGCUUAGGGCUGGACGACACUAUGCCGGGAACCGCUACUAGGGUUGUCUCGACCUAUUAGUGUAUAAUUGAGACUGGCCAGAUAGAUAGCCUGUCAUUGGGCGAUUUUGACGGCGAGAAAAUAAAACAAUGACUGCGCUCGGAGAAGCUUGUGGUGAAGUGCUUUCGGACAGGGGUUCGAUUCCCCUCGCCUCCACCA
rnacentral:tmRNA from 2 species